rnacentral:piRNA from 1 species
UGAGUUGAUGAAUGUGAAAGCACUUU